CGCAAGUUGCGCCCGAAGCCAUUAGGUUGAGGGCACGCCUGCCUGGGCGUCACGCAUCGCGUCGCCCCCUCCCACUCCACUCCUUUGUGAGUGUGGGUGGAUUUGAGGGGACGGAUAUUGGCCUCCCGUGCUCUUUUUGUGCGGCUGGCUUAAACUUGAU
rnacentral:rRNA from 1 species